rnacentral:lncRNA from 1 species
AUUUUAAGAAUUUUUAAAGUUUUCAUAAAGGAUUUUACAAAAAUGCCCUUUGAAGGUACGUGCAUUAUUCGAGGUUAAUCACCAUGUCGUGCCAUCUAAGAUUUGUUUUCUUGAUAUAUCCCCGUAGUACUCGUCGUUACGGACGCGUGGGCGCAGACGGUUCGUGAUUUGGAGUUAUAUCGAGGAAGUUAUUAAAGUUUGAAGUUGGGAUUUUAAGGAAUUAUAAUUUUAGUAAAAUAUAGAAAUUCUUUUAUGAAAAUGGACGGCCCAGAUUUAAUGAUGAAUGAAAUGGAUGGUUGGGAUGAGAGAAAGUUUUGUGUGUGUGUAUGCGUGAGAAGAAAACAGAAAAGAAGAGGGAUUGAGCAAAGCUGCCCAAUCGGAGAAGAAGGAGGAGAGACCGAAUGGGGAGAAGAGAGAGGGAGAAGCUGACCAACUAGAGGAAGGAAAGGAGGAAAGGAGAGAGGGCGAGAAGCGGAGGAGAGAAGGAAGAAAUGGGUUUUCCCCAACCCGUAUAUACCCGCGCGACCCGCGACUUCCAAUCGGCGGGUUUUCGCCAUUUUCGUCCAAUUUUCCGACGAAUUGAAUCAGGGUACCACUCCUAAUCAUCAUCUAGGCCUUCCCUCUUCACGUUUCACCCCAAGAAUCAUUGAAUUUCGUUGUGAUUUCGCGAAGAACACCCCUACGGGUGCCGCGACCCUUUUGUUUAAAUUCUCCAAAUUUUGAAAUGUUUUUCUUUCAAUUACUAACACACCAUUAGCAUUCCCUUAGGACCUAAAACAAAGCCCAAGAGGUAAUUGAGGCGUUGGAACAAGUUUGAAGGUCGAAUUGGAAACACCCAAUUCUAGGGUUCUUCACGGUUUUUGGUGAAAUUGAAGCACUUCCAGGCCAAAUUGGCCUUGGCCUCAGGUAUGAAAGUUGUUCUACUCAUUGAGAUCUUCAAAUCUGCAAAUUUUAGUAAUUUUUGGAAAUAGUUGAAUUUUCCGGCGAGCCGGGGCGGCCAACCGCCACCCGCGGCGGCCCGCGCGGCGGUGCGUGGCCAAUGGCCCGCCAAUGUCAUUAUUAGCUUGUGAUUAAGGUUCUAGGUUCUGUUUUGAUAAUUGAUGGACGUAAAUUGAAUAAUUGAACCUAAGUUGGUUACGAUUCGUGGUUAGGUAAAAAUGUGAAUUGACGAUCCGACCGUUGGAUCGUCACCAAACUUUGAUACUUUGUAAUACGUAAUAUUUGAGGAUUAUAGGAAUUUACGGAUUGAGAAUCCGAUUUACGGAUCUUCCGGAAUUGAAGUUGUAAGUUCAUAAAAUAGAAUGUUAACAGUCACUUAGUUUUGGAAAUUGACGGAGAUCCGACCGUUGGAUGGUAAUGAAAUUUUAGGAUGUUGUCCUAGAGGUAUAUUGUGGACCUCUGGAAGUUACGGAUUUGAAAUCUGAGUUGCAGAUCAUCCGGAUCGAAUUACGUAGUGACGUGUCUUAUAUAAGUUAUGUAUUCUAUCGGCAGGAUUUCUGAGGUUGGGUUUGAUUAUUGUUCUAGGCGCUAAUCUUCAUGACGCCUUGAUGUGUGGUGCUAGGGAGUUGUUGGGCGAACUCCAGGUGAGUGGGCAGUUUUGUUUUCGUAUUACCUAUAUACUAUUGUUUUUCCCAGAAAAAUGCUUUUAUGAGAAAUUAUGUUUUGAAAAUGCCAUGCAUAGAAUUAUUUGGAAAAUGUGAAUUUCAUAUGAGUUAUAUGAUUGAUAUAUGAUGCAUACAUGUUGCAUGGUGCUGUGGAGACACAGGUAAGUCAGGUGAGUUCAUUUAUUCAUUGAAUUGUUGUUGAGAUGUUUGAGCUCAUAACCUGCACCCUAGGUGUUAGUGCUUAUUUUAUUCACCACACCGCACGCUCGCCUUGGAUCCAAGUAGGUGGAUGUCGUACAGACCAUGUGAGGGUUCCGACAUGCCAGUCGUACAGACCAUUAGAGGGGUUCCGACUGGUGGGUGACCUUAGAUAUGCGCGCUGAUGAUAUGAUGAGAGAAGCACUAGAGCGUAUUUUUACACCUAUCAUCGUAUAGACUACCUUACGUAGUUCCGAGUGAUGUGCAGAGUAGGGCCGUAUAGGUCACUGUGGUGACUCCGGCUUAGUGAGAUAUUGAGCUAUUGAAUUAAUCGUAUAGGACCAACUGCAGGGUCUCCGAUUGAUUCCUUAUUUCACCUGAUUUAUAUUUUGAUUUAUGGCAUGACAUGUUUUUCUUGAAAAAUGUUAAAGAUUUGGAAUUCAAGUUUUGAGAUUUCAUAUGGUUUUAUAUAUAUAUAUAUAUAUAUUUUUUUUUUUCUGAAAAGUGUUAAAGGUUUGAGAUUUGAGAUUUUUGCUUAUAUAUAUGUUUAUAUAUAUGCUAUUUUCUGGGAAAGUAUACAGGUUUUACGGUGAGGGGUUAGAAAUGUUUUAAAUGAAAAGUUUUCGAAAAACUUUGUUUUACUGACCCACUCAAUUUUGUUUUGCGCCCCUCCAGGUUCAAGUUAGCAGAGCUUUGGUGGCCACGAGGAAUCCAACGGUGUUCUGACAUAAUUCACAAAAGUAGGACUCACCCUCGGAUGUGUUAUCUUAGUAAUUGGAAAUUUUUUUAAAGCUUCCGAACUGUGUAAAUGGUUACGUCACUCUCACGUGACGGCCAGCACGCCCUCCUUCGGGACGGGGUGUGUCAGUUGGUAUCAGAGCCUAGGUUGCAAUUCUGGACAUCUUGAGAAUUUCCUAGUGUUUUCUGUCAGAACUAUACCGCCUCGUAGCGAGCCACGUAGUUCGGAUGAGCCUAAAUUCCCUGAUAUAGUAGUUUGGGGGGGAACUAUUGCCAUUGUGAUUCAGUCUAUUAUCUAAAGGAACCUUGAGACUGGUUAUAAGUUAAAUUUGAAUACAGACUUGCCUUGUUUCCAUUCGGAUGUUGUUACUAAUCCGGUCGAGGUGUUAUGUCGUUUUUGGCUGGAUAAUAAGAAGAAGUGACGUUCUUUGGCGACCACAAUCCAUUGUACUUUUUACCAAGAGUUUACGAGAUGUUGUUGGGCUUUAAAGACUUUGAGAAUAUGAUCAGCGAGAGUAAAGAGGAAUAAGAAAGGAAUGAGAAUCAGAAUAAGACGAUAAAGUUAAAGAUUCGUCAUAUCAAAAGACCUCGGAGGACUCAGAGCUUCAAAGGAAGUGAAAUUAGAGCUAAUUUUCCCAGCUUAGGUUUUACUGCCACUGGUCAGAGGCGAAGUGAUAGAUUUACUAGUGAUCCCAGAUUUUUGAGACAAGAUGACUCUGGUAGAGGAAAUGUAUAUUUGUGCCAUAGGUAUAAUAUUAGACACUUUGGAGAGUGUGGGAAUCAGUGAAUGUGUUCAUGUGGACGGAUGGGACAUAGAGGUAUGAAUUGUCCCUGAGAUCAGUUGUUACCCAACAGUCUUCCUUAACAUAUCACUUGGAAAAUUGACGGGUAAGUCGUACAGGUCACUAUAUGUGACUUCGACUUAUGAGCUAGCAUGGAUAGUCAAGUUGUAGACUCAGUCGCACAGGUCAUUCUAGCUGACUCCAACUGAUAUAUUUCUUAUUAUGGAUGAUGUUGCCAAAGAAAGUAAUGUUGGAGCACGAUCGAGGCGUAUUUAUGUAUUUCUAAGGAAGAACAAGAUAAUAUUACACAUUCAGGAAUUGUUACUUACUUAUCGAGACAACAUUGGGUUAUUUGUAUUGCGGGCUGCAUACCGUAAUAUUUAUAACUUAUUUGUUGGAUUCGUUAAGCAAGUAAACACGUAGGUCAUCCUACGUUAGUAUGGUGCUAUUUAGGGUGUCCGGUGAUGGUGAAAAAUGUCAUGUCGGUGAAUUUUAUUCCGUUGGAUAUUGUGGAUUUUGAGGUGAUUUUUGGCACAAAGUGGGUGCAGAAUAAAUUUGCCAAGCUAGAUUGCUAUGGCGAAUCAGUUAAUUUUUGUCGACCUGGAUGACCAUAGGUUACUUUUGGGGGUAAGUAAAGUGGAGUGAGUCAUGCCAUUAUUCAUGUUGAGAGAGCAAAGAAGAUUGUUAUCAAAAGGCUGCCAAGAUAUUUAGUUCAUAUGGUGCUAAAUGAUGUUGAUCCUAAUAGUAUGGAAGAUGUAAAGAUGGUUAGACAUUUUCCUGGUGUAUUUCCAAAUGACUUACCUAGAUUACCGCCAGGCAGAGAUGUGGGUUCCAUUAUUGAAUUGUUUUUAGGUACAAAUCCUAUGUUAGAGAUUGGUUCAGGUUGAGUUAAAAGUUCCAUUCAACUUAUUAUAUCACAUUGGAAAAGCUUCGGUUUAUUUGUGAGGAAGAAAGUGGACAUUAAGGCUAGGCAUUGAUAUUAGGUAAUUGAAUCGGGUAACGAUUGAGAGCUGUUAUCCAUUGUUGUGUAUUGAUGAUUAUUUGAUCAGCUCUGAGGCGCCUGGGUACUUUCUGAGAUUGACUAGAGGUCUGAAUGAUAUUAGUUGAAGAUUAACAGUGAGGAUGUUCAUAAGACUGAAUCCAGGACUCGUUAUGGUCAUUUCAAGUUAGGAUGCCAUACGGAGUGACGAAUGCACCUGCUACUUUUAUGAGUUUGCUGAAGGAAGUAUUCCAGUGAUAUCUGGACCGGGUUGUUAUUGUUUGCCAUUGACGAGAUUGAUAAGAUUAGAGCAGUGCAUGCUAGAUAUUUAAAGUUGGUGUUGCAAAGAUUGAGGGAACGUUGAUGUAUGCUAAGUUUAGCAAAUGCUAAUGUUGGAUAAAUUAAUUAUAUCUACUUAAGGUAUUCAAAUGGAUUCUUAAAAGAGUAGCAACGAUUGAGAAUUUGGAACAAUUGCGAACUGUGACUGAGGUUCAGAGUUUUCUCGGAUUAGCAGGAUAUUGUCGAUAGUUCGUCCAAGAUUUUAAUUAUUGCUUCGCCCUUGGCGAGAUUGAUGAGAAAAGAGGUUAAGUUUGAGUGGGAUGAAAAAUUAUAAGUAGAGCUUCAGCAAGUAAAGUAUUCCCUCACUCAUGCAUCUGUUUUCACACUCCCAGACGAUAGUGGUAAUUAUGUGGUCUAUAGUAAUACUUCUUUGAAUGUUCUUGAAUGCGCGUUGAUGCAGCAUGGUAGGAUGAUUGCCUAUGCUUCAUGGCCAUUGGGAUCUCAUAAGAUGAAUUACCCUACGUGUGAUUUGGAAUUGGCGGCUAUCAUUCUUACUUUGAAGUUAUGGAGACAUUAUAUUAUUGGUGAGAAAUGCAAGAUUUUAAUGAAUCAUAAGAGUCUCCAAUAUAUGUUUACGCUGAGAGAUAUUAAUCUUAGGCAACAAAGGUGGAUUGAGUUGCUUAGUGAUUAUGAUUGUGCGACUAGGGUGGUCGAGCUAAUAUUGUGGCUGAUGCAUUUAGUAGGAAGACCCCAGUGAGAAUUAAUGCUUGGUACGCUUGCUAUGUUCAUCUUCUUCUUGUGGAUUUGAAAUCUACUGGAGUAAAGUUGGGUAUCGAAAAAUCGAGAAGAAGCCUUAUUUGCUAAUUUCCAAGUUGGACCCAUUUGGUAGAUCGUACUCGAGACUCAAGCGUUUGACGAAGAAAUUCAAGAAUUUAUUUAAAGCAAGGAAUAACGGGAAAAAGAAAGACCUUAGAGUUAGAGAAUCAGAUGACAAGCUUAUGCAAGGGAACAAAGUGUUUAUGCCUAAUGGUGUGGAAUUAAAGAAAGCAAUUUUGACGAUGUACAUUAUUCCACUUCUACAAUGCAUCCCGAAAGUACUAAGAUUUAUCAUACCAUUCGUUCAUGUACUAUUGACGGGUAUGAAAAGAGGAAUGGCGAAGUAUGUUAGUAGGCGUAUCAUCAGUCAUCAGGUUAAAGCAGAAAGAAAUAAGUCUUUUGGAAUAAUGUAGUCAUUUCCCAUUCCACGGCGGAAAUGGGAGAAUAUUACUAUGGAUUUCGUGGACAAGCUUCCUCGUAUACAAAAUAGUUAGGUUGGAAUUUGAAUAAUAAUUGAUCGACUUGUGACGUCAGCGUAUGUUACUUCAGUAUGAGAACAUCAACCUUUCCAGAUAAGCGCAACAGUUAUUUAUUUGUUUUAUGGAAAAAGGAGAUUGGGAUCUGUUAAACUUCUUGGGUAUGUUGGUCCCUUCAGUUUGUUCCCUAGAGUAACGCCAUAAGGCCGUGGAAAGCUAUGUCUUGUGUUUUCGAAAUUGUUAGAAUUGGGGACGGAUGAUAUUCAAGACUCUGAGUUUGGUGAAAAUUUAUGGAGGAAUCUUUCAGUGGAAGAAACUACUUGAAAGUCAGAGAAUCGAAUGAGAGAGAGAGUUGUGUUUCGGGCUGUUUUAUGGAUAUUGCUGGAUUGUAAAGAUUGUGUAAAUUUCGGGGACGAAAUUUCUUUAAGGUGGGUAGAUUGUGACAGCCCGUCCCUAAUUUUAAGAAUUUUUAAAGUUUUCAUAAAGGAUUUUACAAAAAAUGCCCUUUGAAGGUACGUGCAUUAUUCGAGGUUAAUCACCAUGUCGUGCCAUCUAAGAUUUGUUUUCUUGACAUAUCCCCGUAGUACUCGUCGUUACGGACGCGUGGGCGCAGACGGUUCGUGAUUUGGAGUUAUAUCGAAGAAGUUAUUAAAGUUUGAAGUUGGGAUUUUAAGGAAUUAUAAUUUUAGUAAAAUAUAGAAAUUCUUUUAUGAAAAUGGACGGCCCAGAUUUAAUGAUGAAUGAAAUGGAUGGUUGGGAUGAGAGAAAGUUUUGUGUGUGUGUGUGUGCGUGAGAAGAAAACAGAAAAGAGAGAGGGAUUGGGCAAAGCUGCCCAAUCGGAGAAGAAGGAGGAGAGACCGAAUGGGGAGAAGAGAGAGGGAGAAGCUGACCAACUAGAGGAAGGAAAGGAGGAAAGGAGAGAGGGCGAGAAGCGGAGGAGAGAAGGAAGAAAUGGGUUUUUCCCCAACCCGUAUACCCGCGCGACCCGCGACUUCCAAUCGGCGGGUUUUCGCCAUUUUCGUCCAAUUUUCCGACGAAUUGAAUCAAGG